GGUCUUGUGGUCUAGUGGUAUGAUUCUCGCUUAGGGUACACCCAAGCACAGCUUGCGAGAGGCCCCGCGUUCGAGUCGCGGCAAGACCC
rnacentral:tRNA from 1 species